GACGAACGCUGGCGGCGUGCUUAACACAUGCAAGUCGUACGACAGCAUUUCCUUUUAGGUUGUGUUUGGAGUGGCGAACGGGUGAGUAACACGUGAGUGACCUGCCCUUCACUUUGGGAUAACGUGCGGAAACGUGCGCUAAUACCAAAUAUUCGCAUUUCUGCUGCAUGGUGGGGCGUGGAAAGGGGCCUUCGGGUUCGUGGU
rnacentral:rRNA from 1 species